rnacentral:rRNA from 1 species
GAUGAACGCUAGCGGCAGGCCUAACACAUGCAAGUCGAGGGAGAAGCCCUUCGGGGCAGAAACCGGCGCACGGGUGCGUAACGCGUAUGCAACCUACCUUUCACAGGGGGAUAGCCCGAAGAAAUUUGGAUUAAUACCCCAUAAUAUUAUUGGAUGGCAUCAUUUGAUAAUUAAAAUUACGAUGGUGAAAGAUGGGCAUGCGUCCUAUUAGCUAGUUGGAGUGGUAACGGCACCCCAAGGCUACGAUAGGUAGGGGUCCUGAGAGGGAGAUCCCCCACACUGGUACUGAGACAGGGACCAGACUCCUACGGGAGGCAGCAGUGAGGAAUAUUGGUCAAUGGUCGGAAGACUGAACCAGCCAUGCCGCGUGCAGGAAGAAUCCUUAUGGGUU